rnacentral:rRNA from 1 species
AUGGCAGCCCUUGAUCGCAACAGCGCUCCCGGCCCCGACGGGCUAGGGCCCGCCUUCUACAAAGCUGCUUGGGUGACCGUGGCGUCCGAUCUUCAUCGCCUGUUCGACGAGUUCCACUCUGGGGCGGCUCGCCUGGACGGGAUCAACCGCGCCUUCAUCGCGCUGCUCCCGAAAGGCUCCGGUGUGCCAUCCCCGGCGUCCUUCCGCCCCGUCUCCCUGCAAAAUUGCGACAUCAAAAUCCUCUGCCGUGGGCUUACGUCGCGGCUCCAGCAGCAGAUCUCUCAUCUCAUUGACGAGGAUCAAUCCGGCUUCGUCCGUGGGCGAAGCAUCUCGGAGAACUUCAUCUACGCCACCGAGCUGGUGCAAUGCUGUCACCGGAGGCGAGCUGCCACCUUGGUGCUGAAGCUCGAUUUUGCGAAGGCUUUCGACUCCAUCAACUGGGAAAGCCUGCGCAAGAUCAUGGCGGUGCGUGGGUUUCCGCCCCUCUGGUGCGACUGGAUGGACACCCUCUUCCACUCCUCACGCUUGGCGGUCUUGCUCAACGGCGUACCGGGGCGCUGGUUCCAGGUCAAAUGCGGCCUCCGGCAAGGGGACCCCAUCUCCCCGUACUUCUUCCUCAUGGUGGCCGAUGUGCUUCAGCGGCUCAUA